AGAAAAUGAUAAGGUCUUAUUUGCAUGAAUAGAUCCUCCCAUUGUGAGAAUGUGAAGAAAAGGAGCAACAGAUUUUAGGGGUAGCUCUACUUCACCUGUAGGGUCUUGAAAUGCUGAACUCAGCAACAGUCUCCACCAUGACCUGGCCUCUUCUUCUUAUCUUCAUCUCUCACUGCACAGGUUCUCGGGCCCAGUCUGUGCUGACUCAGCCAGCCUCAGUGUCUGGGAACCUGGGCCAGAGGAUCACUAUUUCCUGUGCUGGAAGUAGCACAAAUAUUGGGGAAGCAAUUAAUGGUAAAUAUAUAUCCUGGUACCAGCAAUUCCCAGGAGCUUCCCCCAGACUUCUUAUAUAUGAAACUACCAAACGGCCAUCAGGAAUCCCGGAUAGGUUCUCUGCCUCCAAGUCUGGCAAUUCAGCUUCUCUGGCCAUCAAUGGACUGCAGUCUGGGGAUGAGGCUGACUACUACUGUCAUUGUUAUGAUGACAAUCUUAGAGCUCCCACAGUGAUCUGGGCUGGUGGGGAAGUGAGCCAAAAACUCACUGUCAGCCCAGCAAUGAGUAAUCUCUGUGCAAUGCCCUUCUAA